GUGUGUGUGUGUGUAUGUGUGUACGUGUGUAUGUGUGUAUAUAUAUAUAUAUAUAUAUAUAUAUACACACGUACACACACACACACUGACAG